UUUGUAUUUUUUAGUAGAGACAGGGUUUCACCAUGCUAGCAAGGAUGGUCUCGAUCUCCUGACCUCGUGAUCCGCCCGCCUCGGCCUCCCAAAGUACUGGGAUUACAGGCGUGAGCCACCACGCCCGGCCCCCAGAUGGACUUUUAUCACUCAGCAGAAUUCUCUGGAGAUGCACCCAGGCUGUUGCAGGAACCAGCUUUGGGACCCUGGAGGGCAAGAGCUCAAUGGCACCACACCACCCUUCGGUGCUUGGAACGUUGCAGAGAGGCAAGGAGGGUCUAUCUGGCGUGUGAGGUCACAGGAAAGCUGACGAGCCAGUCACCCGACGUGACCCCGAGGCCGCAGGCAGGGGACUUUACCUGCACGGCAAUCACAGACAAGACUUCCACUGAGAUGCGAUUAAACUCGUCAAAGCAGCCCCAGGCUCCCGUCUGGGCCAGGCCCUUGUAGA
rnacentral:lncRNA from 10 species